ACGAGGAAGGCCGAGUAGUUAAGGCGUUGGACUCAAGUGCCAAUGUACAAAUGUACGCUUGGGUUCCAACCCAAGUCCUGGUA
rnacentral:tRNA from 1 species